rnacentral:rRNA from 1 species
UACAGAGGUCUCAAGCGUUGUUCGGAUUCAUUGGGCGUAAAGGGUGCGUAGGCGGCGCGCUAAGUCAGGUGUGAAAUCUCGGGGCUUAACUCCGAAACUGCAUUUGAUACUGGCGUGCUUGAGGACUGGAGAGGAGACUGGAAUUCAUGGUGUAGCAGUGAAAUGCGUAGAGAUCAUGAGGAAGACCAGUGGCGAAGGCGGGUCUCUGGACAGUUACUGACACUGAGGCACGAAGGCCAGGGGAGCAAACGGG